UCGCGCACGCACCCCACACACAUACGAGUUUGUUAAUAAACUGUUUUAUAAGAAACAUUUAAAAAGUUGAAACACAUCCCGAUUACGACACAGCACACAUUGACAUGAUAAAAAUGUAUAUUACAUUAAAAUGUCUGUGAACUUUUUUUUUUUAAAUAAGUCAUCAUACAAAAUUAUUAACAAAAGAUGUUUCGAUUUGAUUUUGAGUGAAAUGAAACGUGUUCGUCAGAGUUAAGACAAAUAUGCCUACAGUCAAAUCUUUGAUCACGUGACAUAACUCAUAAUAAUGUAUAAUUUAUAUAAACGUACCGUUCAACCGUUAUUUAUAACCGGGUUUAUACACAAUUUAUUCACGUACCUCAAGAAAAAAACUAAAAAAAUCGGCGUCACUAGUUCUUUUACGUUUUGUGUAAACGAGAUCCAUCACACGAGCACACUAAUAUACACGACCAUCACACUAGAUAUCAGUAAUGAAAUUCUCUAAGAAGUCACUUCAUAACUCACCCGUGAAAUGUUUAAAUGUGACGUAUGGUGAUAUACUAUUUCGAUGCGUGAAUUCUUGAAAUGUUAUAAUUAUAAUGGUCAAUGUCGCAUGUCACUUUUGACAUUUCAUGGCCGUUUUCUGCUGUGAGUUUUGAAUUUGUUCUUAUAGAAUAGCCCUAAAUAUACAAUGUGAUACUAGGUGUCACAUUGAUUGUACUUUAAAUAUACUAGUUGGAAAUACCUGUGAUAAAAUACUGGGUUAUUAAUUUAAGGAACAGUAACAGCCUGUUAAUGUCCCACUGCUGGGCUAAGGCCUCCUCUCCCUUUUGAGGAGAAGGUUUGGAGCUUAUUCCACCACGCUGCUCCAAUGUGGGUUGGUGGAUACACAUGUGGCAGAAUUUUAAUGAAAUUAGACAUAUGCAGGUUUUCUCGCGAUGUUUUCCUUAACCGUCAAGCACGAGAUGAAUUAUAAACACAAAGUAAGCACAUGAAAAUUCAUUGGUGCUUGCCCGGGUUUGAACCCACGAUCAUCGGUUAAGAUUCACGCGUUCUAACCACUAGGCCAUCUCGGCUUUUUUUGGAACGUUUAUACUUUAUUUACUAAAUCAUUUUAAUUCGUAAAAAAGGCAGAUUAAACUGUCUGAACGCUAAAAUAAUAUUCAAUUAAAUAAUACACAAACUAAAUAUAAGUGAAUUUUUAUUUUUGAUACUAACAACGAACAAAAUGUUUACAAAAUUUACGUACGUAUAAUGAUACUACGUUUUAAUAAUAAUAAAUGCAUCUCUUUCUCAGUUAUUUAAUACGUAUAUGUGUAACGAAGAUGGACAUAUUAUUUUUUUAAAGACGAUAACAGUGACAGAAGAUUCUUGGUAUUGUAAGUGAAUGUCACAGAUAAAAAAUACCGUUAUCUCAUAAUGAUAUUUAAUAGUACUGUUAUUUUAUGAGUAUUUAUUUUGAUCCUAUUAUAAACCAUAGUCACAGAUAAGGAUGAAAUAUUGUCGCUGUGACAGACUGCUACUUUUUUUUUUAUCUAGUAUUUUAUCUAUGAUCCGCCUCAACUCUACUACUCACACAUUGCGUAUUAUCUAUUAAUGUAUGGAAAUAAAUCAUUUAAUUACAGUACAGUAUUAUAUAUAACAAUAAUGUGUAUCAUUAUUCCGGACUGAGUUUAUUUUAAAAGUGAUAAAUAGUGAUUUAAUGUACUGUGCGUCCCAGCAGUGAAAAUAUAUAUUGAAAAUGUGCACGGCACGGCGCCCGCCAUCGCGGGGCAGGACAAGGCCAACCCCACGGCGCUGCUGCUGUCGGGCGUCAUGAUGCUGCGCCACCUGCAGCUGGGCGCGCUGGCCGCCCGCAUCGAGGCCGCCUGCUUCGACGUGCUGCGCGAGGGCCGCGUGCUCACCGAGGACCUGGGCGGCGCCAGCACCUGCACGCAGUACACCAACGAGAUCAUCGCCAAGCUGCACUAGACCGCCUCCGCUCGCUGCCUUGUUGCCGACGCGCAGAGUGCAACCUCUUGUCACGUGUAACAUGCUCAUUGUUCUAAUCCCUUUGUACGUCGUUACUACGCUCAUUUAAGGAACUAAAAUAUCGCUAUCCACAGAACUAAAAUAUCGCACACGGGAGAAGGUGAUAGAGAUAUUAAGCGUGGAACGGAAUCAAAAUCAACAAAAAAAAAAAAAACACUAUUGAUACUUUAUUUAAAAAAGUAAAUCUAAACAAAUUUUAUUAAAAGUCAUUUCCAAAAGUAUCAUUACGAGAUGGUUAGUCUUGUGUUCAAGAAUUUUUCUGUUCAUUUUAUAUAUAAACAUACAAAUAGUACUAAAGUUUUUAAUUGAAUUAAAAAAACAGUAUUAUUUUUAAACUCAUAUAAGAUGUGAGUUUUAAGUUAUUUUAUGUUUAAUUAUAUAAAAAUAAUAGUAAUUUUUAAAAUUUAUACAUAUAAGGCAAUGCAGCGAUGGAUACCGAGUAGAUGAUUAGCUAAACUAGAUCAAUUGUUGAUAUUUUUAAAUUAUCCGAAUGAAAUUGUGUUUUGUUAUGUAUUGCGAAACGUGUGAUUGUUCAUAAAACAUUUCAUAAUGCAAAGAUCUUUUAGGUCAAUGAUUCCCAACCGUACUGUACCACCAAGCGCCCCCGACUUGGCCAUGUCAUUUUUCAUGUUAAUUUCUUUACGUGUAAAACCUAAUGACUUGUGUAUAAUUAAUUAUGAGUAAUAUGCCAUUGAAGUGUUGCCAGUUGCGACAAAACAAAUAUUGUCGUCGAAGUUUAAAUCGGUUUUUGUGCAGUAGAUACCGUUAUUGUUUCUUAACGCCUUAGUAGGAAAGCGCUAGGUGGUCUGGAAGUCGAUGAUGAUGAAUCACUUCUUGAAUUUUUAUUUAAUUUAUUAUUUUAUUAUCAAUGAAUUAAUUAUUUAAAUAGUUUAUUUUUUAAACAGUAUAAAUAAAAUACAAAAUAGUCUGUGCAAAAUUUUAUCCUUCAAGAUAUCUAUGUUCGUUUAUAAAAUAACAUAAAAAAUAUAUCGAUGUCAAAAGACCAUAUAGAUCGUCUUGUUUGUAUUUUUCUAAAUGAAAUGGACACACGUUUGGAAUGAAAAAUAUAAAUUGUGUGUCUUCGAAGAUCAUUCAAAAACCAUGUUACACCUCAUUAAGAGGGAAACGAUUUUAUUUGAUAUAAUUUGAAUUUUUCGAAUUUUUCUUAUAAAAUGAAAUGAAAUCUUUGUGUUCAUUCAUUUUCAUUGUAUUUAAGUUAUUUAUUGGCCGCUAGGCAUUUUUUGAUAGUGAUAGACGGCUGUUUUAGUGUGAUUGCUAGGUAGAUUUUCAUAUUGUAGUCUUUAAUAUAUAAAAUAAACAAUUGAAACGAUAUUCAAUAUUUUCCCGUAUUUUAUUAUUUUGCAUCCAAGUCUUGUUUACCAUAUAUAUAAUGUAUCAUUUAAAAUUUGGUCAAACCUUGCAACUUUAAACUAAAUCUGCAUAUCAUUAUCCCAAUAUGUUUUUAACUUGAACAAAGGUACUUACCCCAAACCUUUGUUUGAUACUUAAAUAAACAUUCAACAAUAUCAGCCAUAAUAAACAGUAUUCAUGUUAUAUAUUUAAUUUAGUUUAGUUUUAGUUAAACGGGUUUUCCUAAUUUGUGAUGUCAUUCCAUUUAUAUUUGCUAGUUUGUAUGUAGUAUUAUUUGUAUCGAUCUACAAUAUUUAUUACCAGUGAAAUGAAUCGUAAUACACAUUAAAACAAUCAGAUGUAAUCUGACAAUAAAUGUUAUAAUUAAAUAUUAUAUUG